GACGAACGCUGGCGGCGUGCUUAGCACAUGCAAGUCGAACGGAAAGGCCCUGCUUUUGUGGGGUGCUCGAGUGGCGAACGGGUGAGUAACACGUGAGUAACCUGCCCUUGACUUUGGGAUAAUUUCAGGAAACUGGGGCUAAUACCGGAUAGGAGCUCCUGCUGCAUGGUGGGGGUUGGAAAGUUUCGGCGGUUGGGGAUGGACUCGCGGCUUAUCAGCUUGUUGGUGGGGUAGUGGCUUACCAAGGCUUUGACGGGUAGCCGGCCUGAGAGGGUGACCGGCCACAUUGGGACUGAGAUACGGCCCAGACUCCUACGGGAGGCAGCAGUGGGGAAUAUUGCACAAUGGGCGGAAGCCUGAUGCAGCAACGCCGCGUGCGGGAUGACGGCCUUCGGGUUGUAAACCGCUUUCGCCUGUGACGAAGCGUGAGUGACGGUAAUGGGUAAAGAAGCACCGGCUAACUACGUG
rnacentral:rRNA from 1 species